rnacentral:rRNA from 1 species
CCUACGGGAGGCAGCAGUAGGGAAUAUUGCGCAAUGGGGGAAACCCUGAAGCAGCAACGCCGCGUGGAGGAUGAAGGUUUUCGGAUUGUAAACUUCUGUUGUUAGAGAAGAUCAUGACGGUAUGUAACUAUUAACCACCGGCCAACUCCGUGCCAGCAGCCGCGGUAAUACGGAGGGUGCACGCGUUACUCGGAAUCACUGGGCGUAAAGAGCGCGUAGGCGGGUUAGCAAGUCAGAUGUGAAAUCCUAUGGCUUAACCAUAGAUCUGCAUUUGAAACUGUUAUUCUAGAGUAUGGGAGAGGUAGGUGGAAUUCUAGGUGUAGCGGUAAAAUGCGUAGAGAUAAAGAGGAAUACUCAUUGCGAAGGCGACCUGCUAGAACGUAACUGACGCUGAUGCGCGAAAGCGUGGGGAGCAAACAGGAUUAGAUACCCCAGUAGUC